AGCAUGUGGUUUAAUUCGAAGCAACGCGAAGAACCUUACCAGGUCUUGACAUCCCGAUGCUAUUCUAGAGAUAGAAAGUUACUUCGGUACAUCGGUGACAGGUGCUGCAUGGCUGUCGUCAGCUCGUGUCGUGAGAUGUUGGGUUAAGUCCCGCAACGAGCGCAACCCUUGCCAUUAGUUGCUACGAAAGGGCACUCUAAUGGGACUGCCGGUGACAAACCGGAGGAAGGUGGGGAUGACGUCAAGUCCUCAUGGCCCUUAUAGGUGGGGCUACACACGUCAUACAAUGGCCGGUACAGAGGGUAGCCAACCCGCGAGGGGGAGCCAAUCCCACAAAGCCGGUCGUAGUCCGGAUCGCAGUCUGCAACUCGACUGCGUGAAGUCGGAAUCGCUAGUAAUCGCGGAUCAGCAUGUCGCGGUGAAUACGUUCCCGGGUCUU
rnacentral:rRNA from 1 species